AAAGCUCUCUUCAUAAUAUAAACAGUUAAAAUAGAAAGCUUGCGUACCUGGAUUCACUCUUCAACUUACAUGCCAGAGGUGAUGUAUAUGGGUAGUCGUCGGUAGCUGUCCAUCGAUGGUGGAUAUGGGGGCGACGGUGAUCAGAAGUCACGGUGGAUGUGGUUGUCGGUGAAUAUGCGGGAAAAGGACGGUGGUCGUUGGCGGAGAAGAAGAUGAUGGGUUCACGGGAGUCGGUGGUCGUUGACAGGUGGGUAAUGUUUAAUCGGAAACAGGUAAGUGAUGUUGUGAUUGUGGUGGGGAUCGGACGGAGGAGAGAAAGGAGGUGAUUGGUUAUCAGCCGGCGGUACAGGUGGUCGGAGAUGGAUGUGGUGAAGGGUGGUCGGCCGACGGUGAUUAACAAUGGGGUAAUCGGAGGUUGACGGUGAUCCUAUGACACCCGGCACAGCAAAAAUCGACGGUGGUUAAACGAGCUCGUCGACAAUGGUCGACGGUGGUGAUGAAAGAAGGUGUCACAGUGAUCAGCAGUGGUAUAACAAAGAGGUGGUCAGUGUUUGCGAGUGAUGGUGGAUAAGUUGAUUGGCCGACAGUGGUAAGGGUGUUAGGAGUGGGAGUCGGCAAAGGUCGGCAAAAGAGUUUGCCACUCGGUAAACACCACCAUCAACAAUAGUUUACCACUCAAACUUUACCAAAUCGGUGGUGGGUGGACAAUUCGGUGAGGAGGGUGUGUGUGUGUUGGGGUGGGGUUCAUACAAUCUCUCAACCAAUCACACCCUUUUCCUUUUUUUUUUAAAGUUUACCAUUUUAGCAAGUGUCUAAACCAUUGCCAACACUUUUCAGCAAAGGUUAAACACUUUUCACUGAUUGACGUGGCACACUCUCAUUGAUUGAUUUUUUUAGUUUGCCACUCUCAAGUGUUUAACCACUCCUAACACCCUAAUGGUGUUUGGUAUUUGCCGGAAAUGGGGAAGAAGGUUGGUAGAGGGUGGUUGGUGGUCGAUGGAGGGUAAGCGACGAUGUUGACGUUGGUAGGUAUGGCUACCGGAGAAGAAGAAGAUAGGAGGAAAGGCUUUGAAUGAAAGUAAUGUGA
rnacentral:lncRNA from 1 species